UGAUUAUAUUUAGAAAACCUAGGUCUUUCUCUCUCUAGAAACUGAGAGAGGUCUCACAUGUCUCUCAGCCCUCUCUUUCUUUAAGAACAAAAAAUGGUUCUCAUUUCCCUAUAAUGGAGAACCCUAGCCGCGCCUCCUCUUCCAUUUCUACUUCAAUGCCUUACCAUCCUCUCUCACAUCAACACAAACCCUUCACUCUAGCCGCUCCUCCAUGUUCUCUAGGUCUCCCAAAAUUAAACUUCAAACAUGCCUCCAAUGUUCUCGGUCCCAGUCAUGGAGUUCAUCAUCCUUACUGGAUCUCGGCUGCGAAACCCAAGUCCCCAAAGAAACACACUAAAACCCAGCCUUCAUAGAUCUAUAGCAAAGCGUCCAAGACUCCUCCAUCUGCAGGUAAAACUCCCAGAUCCGUUGAUGGCAAGGAAGAAAAAAAAAUAAAGGAGAACCUCUUGGAGUCAACAGAUCCGUGGAAAGAGAAGGAAACUUAGAGUCGUGAUAUAUCCGAGAGAAAAAAAAAUGUUCGAGUUGCAGAUUCAGUCGACAAAAUGGCAAAACAAGUUUCCAAGUAGCCACGACUUCGGAUCUGAAAGCUAUAAACCCUCAUCUCUGCUGGAAUCCAUGUUGGAUGUGUAAACUUAUGCAAAUGAGUAUGGCAUGCAUGUAUUAUCUGUGAGAUCACCCCAAACUUAAUAUAAGUAAUAAACGGAGAUUGUAAUUGCUGGACAAAAAUAAAUAAAAGGCUUAGAUCUGUAUGGGGAUGA